UGGGCAACCUGCCCCUCUCUCUGGGAUAACCCCGGGAAACCGGAGCUAAUACCGGAUACUCCGGCUGGAUCGCAUGGUCCGGCCGGGAAAGGUCCGCCGGAGAAGGAUGGGCCCGCGGCCUAUCAGCUUGUUGGUGGGGUCAUGGCUCACCAAGGCGACGACGGGUAGCUGGUCUGAGAGGACGACCAGCCACACUGGAACUGAGAUACGGUCCAGACUCCGUACGGGAGGCA
rnacentral:rRNA from 1 species